rnacentral:rRNA from 1 species
GAUGAACGCUGGCGGCGUGCCUAAUACAUGCAAGUAGAACGCUGAAGCUUGGUGCUUGCACCGAGCGGAUGAGUUGCGAACGGGUGAGUAACGCGUAGGUAACCUGCCUCUUAGCGGGGGAUAACUAUUGGAAACGAUAGCUAAUACCGCAUAAAAGUCGAUAUCGCAUGAUAUUGAUUUGAAAGGUGCAAAUGCAUCACUAAGAGAUGGACCUGCGUUGUAUUAGCUAGUUGGUGAGGUAACGGCUCACCAAGGCGACGAUACAUAGCCGACCUGAGAGGGUGAUCGGCCACACUGGGACUGAGACACGGCCCAGACUCCUACGGGAGGCAGCAGUAGGGAAUCUUCGGCAAUGGGGGCAAACCUGACCGAGCAACGCCGCGUGAGUGAAGAAGGUUUUCGGAUCGUAAAGCUCUGUUGUAAGAGAAGAACGAGUGUGAGAGUGGAAAGUUCACACUGCGACGGUAACUUACCAGAAAGGGACGGCUAACUACGUG